ensembl:lncRNA
GCGGCCGCACAGCGGCAGUCUGGGACCGCGCGAGCCCCGCGUCUGUGUGAGCGCGGCCUGAGGCAGAGCUGAGACUGCGGGGAUCCGCGCCUUCCUCCCCCGUGCGCUGCCAGCCCGCGGCCUGCAUUGCUCACAGAGCCCUUCGAGUUCCUUCCUCAGUCGCUAAUUGCCACCAUUGAAGAGGUGUCUGCAACUUUUCGUUAGGAAAGCAGCCAAGAAGCACCAGAGAGCUUUUGAUGUUAAUUCUUUCAAAGGAACAGGCAGACAAAACUGAAAAUGGAGAAGCAAAGUGUAUGCGGGGAGCCCAUAUCUGAGCAGUCCUUCCUGAUACCUGAAGGGAGAAAAGGAGGGCUGUGUGAAAGCAGCAGUGAGUCUGCCUGCACUACAUCCACCACAUAAGAAACUGACUUUACAAACUGUAUGCAACGGGCGCCGCUUCUUCUGAAGCUGUUGUGAUGGUCUUUGAAGGGAGCAAACAGCCAACAGCAAGAGAUGGUAAAUAGCAGUGCAUUAUUUACGUUCCUUAUCCUGAUUUAUCCCCUGAUCCCAGUCUUCUAAGGUAAAAAUGCUAGCGUUUUCACACAGUCCCAGCACUGUAGGGGUCAGACAGAAUGUUUAGAGCUCACCACUUCAGCCCCCCCAAAGCAGUUCCCUGUAGCAACUAUACAGGAAAGCAUCCAGGCGGGUUUGGAUUAUCUCCAGAGGAGACUCCCCUACCUCUCUGGGCUCCGUUCCAGGGCUUUGCCACCCUCAUAGCACAGAAUUUCUUCCUCACAUUCAGGUGAAACUCCCUGAGCUCCAGUGUGUGUCUGGUGCUCGUUGUCCUGUCGCUGGGUACCACCAAACAGAGACGGGCCCCAUCCUCCUGUCUGCCACCCUUCAGAUAGUGAUCAGCACUCAUCACAUCCUUCUUUGCCUUUUCUUCUCCAGAUAGACAGCCCCAGGGCACUCAGCCUUUCCCCAUUAUUAGAUACUCCAUGGCCCUACCAUCUCUGCAGCCCUGCGCUGGGCUCCUCCAGUGAGAUCCUCAGAAAGGCCAAAGUCUGCUCUCCUGAAGUUUAGGACUGUGACCCUGUUUUCUGCUCUGCUCCAUUCUCUCAUGUUCCUGAUCACCUCUAUCUCCUGGUCACAGCCAAGGUUGCCCCUGACCUUCACGCUCCUGGGCAGUUCUUUCUCAUAAGAAUCAGGUAGAACAGAGCAGCUCUGCUUGUCUGCUCCUCAGUCAUCCGUGUUAUGAAUUCAUCAUCAGUGUUUUCCAGGAACCUCCCUGCCUGAUUGUGCCCUUCUGUGUUGUCCCUUCUUCAGAUACUGGGGUGGUAAAUGUGUCCUAUGAGAAUAAGGGCCUGUAAAUAAGAGGAUUCUUCAGGUUGUUUGCCUCUGUGGCAGACAUUACUACAACACUACCCAUUCUCCUCAGCCUGCUAAUUCUGACCCAAACACUCGCAGCUGAUGCACCAUUCACAG